rnacentral:piRNA from 1 species
UAGGUGUCUGAGUUAGGGCCCUAGUGUGUGU